GAAAUGAUGUGGAUGAGUGUGCAGAUGAGAGAAGAAACAAGGCUCAGGGGAGCGGGAGAAGCCCCAGUGCGGAGGCAGUUGAGGGAAGGAAGAGAAAACAAACUGUGCACCACAGGCUGUGAUAGGCCACCAAUGACCUAUGGUCUCUGCAGGACUUACUAUUUGACAAAAGUAAUAUAAGCAAAUUAAGAGGUAAAAAGUACACA